CCUACGGGAGGCUGCAGUGAGGAAUAUUGGUCAAUGGGCGCGAGCCUGAACCAGCCAAGUCGCGUGAGGGAAGACGGCCCUACGGGUGGUAAACCUCUUUUGCCGGGGAGCAACGGGCGCCACGUGUGGCGCCACUGAGAGUACCCGGAGAAAAAGCAUCGGCUAACUCCGGACCAGCAGCCGCGGUAAUACGGAGGAUGCGAGGGUUAUCCGGAUUUAGUGGGUUUAAUGGGUGCGUAGGCGGAGCGUUAAGCAAGUGGUCACAUUGAGGGGCUCAACCCCUUCCCGCCAUUGAAACUGGCGCUCUUGAGUGGAAGAGAAGUAUGCGGAAUGCGUGGUGUAGCGGUGAAAUGCAUAGAUAUCACGCAGAACCCCGAUUGCGAAGGCAGCAUGCCGGCUUCCGACUGACGCUGAAGCACGAAAGCGUGGGGAUCGAACAGGAUUAGAUACCCGGGUAGUC
rnacentral:rRNA from 1 species